UACGGAGGGUGCAAGCGUUAUCCGGAUUUACUGGGUUUAAAGGGUGUGUAGGCGGACUUUUAAGUCAGGGGUGAAAUCCCGAGGCUCAACCUCGGAACUGCCUUUGAUACUAUUGGUCUUGAAUGUUGUUGAGGUGGGCGGAACGGGUCAUGUAGCGGUGAAAUGCAUAGAUAUCUGGAGGAAUACCGGUGGCGAAGGCGGCAUCCUGGACCGGCAUUGACGCUGAGGAGCGAAAGCCAGGGGAGCAAACGGG
rnacentral:rRNA from 1 species